CAGCAGCCGCGGGAAUACGAAGGGUGCAAGCGUUAAUCGGAAUUACUGGGCGUAAAGCGUGCGUAGGCGGUUUGUUAAGUCUGUUGUGAAAUCCCCGGGCUCAACCUGGGAAUGGCAAUGGAUACUGGCAAGCUAGAGUGUGUCAGAGGAUGGCGGAAUUCCCGGUGUAGCGGUGAAAUGCGUAGAGAUCGGGAGGGACAUCAGUGGCGAAGGCGGCCAUCUGGGACAACACUGACGCUGAGGCACGAAAGCGUGGGGAGCAAACAGGAUUAGAUACCCGCGUAGUCCCUGUCUCUUAUAA
rnacentral:rRNA from 1 species